rnacentral:tRNA from 1 species
GGCGUCGUGGCCUAGUGGUUAUAGCGCCUGUCUAGUAAACAGGAGAUCGUGAGUACGAAUCUCACCGGUGCCU